rnacentral:lncRNA from 1 species
AAAUAGCUCUCGAACUUUAGCGUGCAUCAGAAUCAGCUGGAGAGCUUGUUAAAUUACAGACUGCAGAACCCUGCCCCUUGAGUUUCUGAUUCAAUAGGUCUGGAUUCAGUCUGAGACUCUGUAUGUCUAACCCAUUCCCAGGUUAUGCUAAUUGUACCGGUUCAGGGACCACAGUUUGAGAAAUACUCUUAAGAACCUCAAAGGUAUAAAACCAAACCUGGGCCUCUGCACUUUUCCUCCUCGCGCAGAUCACAUCUCUGGGUAUCAACUGCUUUGUGAGGAUGUGCACUAGAGGAAUCCGCCUAUCAGCACGUAGUUUAGGUAAAGUUGUUCCCAAGAAUCCCAAUAUAUUCGAGUCACCUGAGAAGCUUCUAAAACUCCCAUUGCUCAGGCCCCAUCCAAUACUAAUUAAAUCAGAAUCUCUGAGUGUGGAACUCAGGCACCACUAAUUCUAAAAUACCCUGGGUGAUUCCAGGGUGCAGCCAAGUUUCAGAAAAACCGAUAGUGAGGAAAGUCCAGCAGUGCCCAUGCCUAGUGGUGGUGAGCAGCCACCUGCAUAUUAUAGAUCUCAAGGACAUAAAGAUGGUCAAUCUUAGGUCUUCAAACAUGGUCCAGACCUUUGGAUUGUGUUCCAUAUGCAAGGAUGAUACAGUAGUCCCUCCAGAUGCUGUGGGAAGAGUCGGUUGGAGGAGCAAGAAAAGCGGCUCAGACAGCAGACUGCUACAGGAGAGACCAUCGUGACCCAUAGGCAAGAAGAGAGGGGAGAGAAUAGUGAGAUAAUCUCAUGGACUCUAGAAUAUUGGUUAAUGUAAUUUAGGACAGUGAAUUUCAGCAAAAUGCCAGGUCUCAGAGCUAAAGACGAUUAAUAGAACUAAGUCAGCCUAUCAUAUAUUAAUAUCGUUAUUAUUCAUUUACAUCAUAUUACUAAUAUAUAUAUAUUUAUAUCUCAACAUAAUAUCA